AUUAAUAAGCGGAGGAAAAGAAACUAACAAGGAUUCCCUUAGUAACGGCGAGUGAAGCGGGAAAAGCCCAGCACCGAAUCGUCCGUCUUCUAGGCGGUGCGAACUGUGGUGUUAAGGACAGCCUACGGGGAUCGAUUGGCGGACCGAGUCCUCCUGAUCGGGGCUUUACCCAGAGCGGGUGUCAGGCCUCUACGUCUGCCGUUCGGUUCUCCGAGGUCGUCCUACGAGUCGGGUUGUUUGAGAUUGCAGCCCAAAGUGGGUGGUAAACUCCACCUAAGGCUAAAUACGAACACGAAUCCGAUAGCAAACAAGUACCGUGAGGGAAAGUU
rnacentral:rRNA from 1 species